rnacentral:rRNA from 1 species
GUGGGGAAUAUUGCACAAUGGGCGAAAGCCUGAUGCAGCAACGCCGCGUGAGUGAUGACGGUCUUCGGAUUGUAAAGCUCUGUCUUUUGGGACGAUAAUGACGGUACCAAAGGAGGAAGCCACGGCUAACUACGUGCCAGCAGCCGCGGUAAUACGUAGGUGGCAAGCGUUGUCCGGAUUUACUGGGCGUAAAGGAUGUGUAGGCGGAUACUUAAGUGAGAUGUGAAAGCCCCGGGCUCAACCUGGGGACUGCAUUUCAAACUGGGUGUCUAGAGUGCAGGAGAGGAAAGCGGAAUUCCUAGUGUAGCGGUGAAAUGCGUAGAGAUUAGGAAGAACAUCAGUGGCGAAGGCGGCUUUCUGGACUGUAACUGACGCUGAGGCAUGAAAGCGUGGGGAGCAAACAGGAUUAGAAACCCUAGUAGUCC